rfam:Ovis aries breed Texel chromosome 15, whole genome shotgun sequence.
UCCCUGGUGGUCCAGUGGUCAUGACUCCACACUCCCAAUGCAGGGGGCCUGGGUUUGAUUCCCAGUCAGGGAA